rnacentral:rRNA from 1 species
GAAACUGAUGCAGCAGCGACGCCGCGUGAGCGAAGAAGGCUUUCGUAGUAAAAAGCUCUGUCAUAAGAGAAGAAGACAGGACGGUAAAAUCGGAGGAAGCCCCGGCUAAUUCCAGCACAGCAGCCGCGGUAAAGGGUAGGGGGCUAGUCUGGUCCGGAAUUGCUGGGAGUAAAGGGUGAGUAGGUGGUCAUUAAAAUCAGAAAUAAAAGGCAAUGGCUCAGCCAUUGCAAUCCUUUGAAAAUUUAUGGAGUGCGGGCGGGGGAAGUAAAAGUAAUUCCUAGGGUAGCGAAGAAAUGGGUAGAUAUUAGGACGACCGCCAGGGGGGAAGGUGUUUUGCUGGUAAGUAACUGACAGGCAGUCAAGAAAGGGUGGGGAGCGAGCAGGAAUAGCUACCUAGGUAGUCC